rnacentral:rRNA from 1 species
CAGUAGCCGCGGGAAUACGUAGGUGGCAAGCGUUGUCCGGAAUUAUUGGGCGUAAAGCGCGCGCAGGCGGAUCGGUCAGUCUGUCUUAAAAGUUCGGGGCUUAACCCCGUGAUGGGAUGGAGACUGCCAAUCUAGAGUAUCGGAGAGGAAAGUGGAAUUCCUAGUGUAGCGGUGAGAUGCGUAGAUAUUAGGAAGAACACCAGUGGCGAAGGCGACUUUCUGGACGAAAACUGACGCUGAGGCGCGAAAGCCAGGGGAGCGAACGGGAUUAGAUACCCCCGUAGUCCCUGUCUCUUAUACC